AUUGAACGCUGGCGGAAUGCUUUACACAUGCAAGUCGAGCGGCAGCACGGGGGCAACCCUGGUGGCGAGCGGCGAACGGGUGAGUAAUACAUCGGAACAUGCCCAGUCGUGGGGGAUAACACUUCGAAAGAAGUGCUAAUACCGCAUACGUCCUGAGGGAGAAAGCGGGGGAUCUUCGGACCUCGCGCGAUUGGAGUGGCCGACGUCAGAUUAGCUAGUUGGUAGGGUAAAGGCCUACCAAGGCAACGAUCUGUAGCUGGUCUGAGAGGAUGAUCAGCCACACUGGGACUGAGACACGGCCCAGACUCCUACGGGAGGCAGCAGUGGGGAAUUUUGGACAAUGGGGGCAACCCUGAUCCAGCCAUUCCGCGUGAGUGAAGAAGGCCUUCGGGUUGUAAAGCUCUUUCGGCAGGAACGAAACGGCGAGCUCUACCAUAGCUUGCUAAUGACGGUACCUGAAGAAGAAGCACCGGCUAACUACGUGCCAGCCGCCGCGGUAAAAC
rnacentral:rRNA from 1 species